AGAGUUUGAUCCUGGCUCAGGAUGAACGUGGGCGGUGUGCUAAUACAUGCAAGUCGAACGGAGUUAAUAGCAAUAUUGACUUAGUGGCGAACGGGUGAGUAACGCGUUGGUGAUCUGCCUCGAAGUGUGGAAUAACGUUCCGAAAGGAUCGCUAAUACCGCAUGUGCUCUCGAUUUUUAGAAACUUGAGAGUAAAGGAUUUAUUCGCUUCGAGAGGAGCCUGCGUCCCAUCAGCUGGUUGGUAGGGUAACGGCCUACCAAGGCUAUGACGGGUAGGGGACCUGAGAGGGUGGCCCCCCACAAUGGAACUGAAACACGGUCCAUACACCUACGGGUGGCAGCAGUAGGGAAUAUUAGAAAUGGACGAAAGUCUGAUCUAGCAACACCGCGUGUGCGAAGAAGGCCUUCGGGUCGUAAAGCACUUUUUGGAAGGAAUAGGAAGGAAUGUACUUCCAGAAUAAGUCUCGGCUAACUACGUGCCAGCAGCCGCGGUAACACGUAGGAGGCAAACGUUAUCCGGAUUUACUGGGCGUAAAGCGCGUGUAGGUGGUACUGUAAGUAGGGCGUGAAAGCUCCCGGCUCAACUGGGAGAGGCCGUUCUAAACUGCAGAACUAGAGGAUGGUAGAGGGAGGUGGAAUUCCAGGUGUAGCGGUGGAAUGCGCAGAUAUCUGGAGGAACACCAGUGGCGAAGGCGGCCUCCUGGACCAUUCCUGACACUCAGACGCGAAAGCUAGGGUAGCAAACGGGAUUAGAGACCCCGGUAGUCCUAGCCCUAAACGAUGUAGACUAGGCGUCGGUGGUUUAAUCACCAUCGGUGUCCAAGCUAACGCGAUAAGUCUACCGCCUGAGGACUACGGCCGCAAGGUUAAAACUCAAAGGAAUUGACGG
rnacentral:rRNA from 1 species